rnacentral:rRNA from 1 species
AUGGUUGCACUAAAUCAACAUGUGCAGAACUACUUCUCACAUUUAUUCACGUCUGAGGUGCAGCAUACAGAUCCAAGUUUGUUGGACAAAGUUCAACCGAAGGUGACAGAUCAAAUGAAUACCUUCUUGAUGGCUCCAUAUACGGCUGAUGAUGUCAAAAAAGUUGUAUUCAGUAUUGGAGAUUUGAAGGCUCCAGGACUGGAUGGGCUUCAUGCAAUAAUUUUCAAAAAGUACUGGCAUAUUCUUGGAGAGGAGAUUACUUAGGAGGUAUUGCUUGCUAUUAAUGCUCGACAGAUCCCGGAAGAAUGGAACAGUACAACCAUUGUUAUGAUUCCAAAGGUGGAGAACCCGGAGCUGGUAACUCAAUUUAGACCCAUCAGUUUAUGUAAUGUCUUAUAUAAGAUAAUUUCAAAGAUGCUAGCCUUACGACUUAAGAGUAUCCUACCUGAUAUAAUAUCUCCCACGCAAAGUGCCUUUGUUCCUGGUAGGAUUAUAACAGAUAACAUCCUGAUUGCCUAUGAAUGUGUGCACAAAAUCAAGAAUACAAGAGCUAGCCGAACUGGGUUAUGUGCAGUGAAGUUGGACAUGCAUAAGGCAUACGACAGAGUUGAGUGGUCCUUCUUACAUGAUAUGAUGGUGAAGCUAGGGUUUCAUGAACAAUGGAUUGAAAUGGUGAUGGCAUGUGUGAGUUCAGUUAAAUAUAGAGUAAGAUUUAACUCACAGGAGACAGAUAUGUUGGUUCCAGACAGGGGCAUCAGGCAGGGGGAUCCCCUAUCCCCCUACCUUUUUCUCUUAUGUGCAGAGGGUCUUUCUAGUCUAUUGCAGUUUGAAGAAGAAGCUGGUGGCAUAGAGGGAAUCAGAGUGUGCAGGAAUGCACCAUCAGUAUCACACCUUUUAUUCGCUGAUGAUUCUUUGAUUCUCAUGAAAGCAGAUGUGUUAAAUGCAGCUUCCUUACAGUAUGUUCUAGAAGCCUACGCCAAAGCUCGGAUGGUGAGUCUGGCAAAGAGUAGCAUUUUCUUCAGUCCUAACACACGGGUGGCUUCGAGGGCUGAGAUAUGUCAGGAAUUACAUAUUGAUACUGAGGCCUUAUCGGAUAAAUACCUUGGGCUCCCAGCAAUGGUAGGAGCAGACAAGAGUGAUUGCUUUAGACACUUCUAUGAAAGAAUUAAGGAGAAACUUAAGGGAUGGAUGGAAAAACAAUUAUCAACUGGAGGAAAGGAGAUCUUGCUAAAAUCUGUUGCGCAGGCUAUCCCAGUGUUUGCUAUGUCUAUUUUCUGUCUGCCUAAAGGGUUAUGCAAAGAGAUCACAGAUCUAAUAUCACAAUUUUGGUGGGGGGAUGAUGAGGAACAUAGAAGAAUGCAUUGGUACUCAUGGUGGAAACUAUGUUAUCCAAAAUGUGAGGGUGGUAUGGGGUUUCGAGAUCUUUACUCCUUCAACCUGGCUAUGCUCUCUAAACAGAUCUGGAGAUUGAUAACCAACCCUGAUUCCCUAUGUGCGCGAGUGCUGAAGGCAAAAUACUUUCCAAAUAAUUCGUUGCUUCAAGCCACUUUAAAGAAUGGAGCGUCGUUCACCUGGCAAAGCAUCAUGAAAGGGCUG